rnacentral:lncRNA from 13 species
CUCUAUAUACAUUUAAUUCUUUCAUCUAGAGAAUUUUUUCUCUAUCAUUAUUUUUUCUCAGAAAAAAAUAUUGUAAGUUCCCUUCAAAUGGGGAUGUAUGGAUUGCAGUGGUAUUCCAGGGUGGCCUCUGAGAGCUUCUUUUCCAUUCUAGCUGGAAGGCUCCCACAACCGGUAAGUAUAGGUGAUGGCUAUAAUCUGAUGCCUUAAAUAAUUUCUGCAGGUUCAGUCUUCCUACGUAUAUGCUGCUCACUAUUUGCCUGGUUUGAAGUUGUGAUUUCUAUUCCAUUGCCUUAUACCUAGACUUUCUCUCUUCAGUCACUUCGGUUAUGUGAACUAUCACUUCCUUUCCUAUGCUGCUUUACUUAGCUUAACCUCCUGCAAUUUGCAGCUUAGGGAUCGGUCCAAACUGAGCCUGGAACUGAAUCUUAGAAUUUCAGCACAGUUUACAGGUCACCUUGAGUGCAGAUAUAUGAAGGAGCAUGUACCAAUCUUCCAGGGAGUUAAGGAACAUUCAAAGAACAGUGGAAGAAAAUAAAAAACAGUAGACAAGCCAAAAUAAUUUACAUAAAACACAAUGAAAAGUGGCUGAGAAGAGGACAAUUUAGGAAAAUGAUCUCUCCAGGAAUGCUGCCAAGGUAAGUGGCAGUAGAUAUUGAUUAUAUAGACCUGUCAUGGAUUGGUUUAACCAGUCAUUCUGAAAACUGAAUUGGAUUUUUCUUUCUGAAAUGAUGUUUUUGAAGCUGUGCCAAAUGCAGUCUCUCUCCCUACCCAUUUUGGUUUGUGUCUGCUUUUCAAAGUUACUACUGCUCAGGUAUUUAUAAUGUUGGUCACAGAAAAGUCUUUUUCCAUGCCCAGAGCAAACCAACUAUGUUACAUCAUUUUACAUGACAAUUUCCUUCACUUGAAAAAAAUAUUGAAUAUUCUGAAAUAGUGGAUGUAAAAUAUGUAAUGCAGUGGGAAUAGGUUAAGCACAGAUGAGAAGGGAAAGCAGAAAUUCAUUGCAAGCUGUGUAAAUAAAGUGGCUAUAUAGUUUAUCCUCUAAACCUGG